rnacentral:rRNA from 1 species
CGUGAGCGGCGGACGGGUGAGUAACGCGUGGGUAACCUGCCUCAUACAGGGGGAUAACAGUUGGAAACGGCUGCUAAUACCGCAUAAGCGCACAGUACCGCAUGGUACGGUGUGAAAAACUCCGGUGGUAUGAGAUGGACCCGCGUCUGAUUAGGUAGUUGGUGGGGUAACGGCCUACCAAGUCGACGAUCAGUAGCCGACCUGAGAGGGUGACCGGCCACAUUGGGACUGAGACACGGCCCAA